GGGGAUGUAGCUCAGUGGUAGAGCAGUUGCCUAGCACACGUGAGGCCCUGGGUUCAAUCCCCAGCACCA
rnacentral:tRNA from 1 species